GGGGUCUUCUUCAGUUCAUUCUCUGCAGCUUCGUCGCAAGCCCUCCGGAAAUCCGCCUCUUUGACUACAAUUACCCCUACUGGACCAUGGUGCUGGGCUAUUGCAUUGGGACCUCCUCCUUCAUCUGCAUCCCUGCCUACAUGGUUUAUCGGUUGGCAAGGACUCCGGGGACGCUAAAAGAGCGUCUCCUGAAGAGCAUCACGCCCGAAACUUCCACGGAGAUUCCUUUCGAUGGGAUCCACAUGAAUGCCGCUUAGGUCACCCCCACAUUUGGGGCACAGCGUGGGGAGAAGGGAGAGGCAAGGAAAGGGGCCGCAUCCUGUCUCCCUAGUUUGCUUUCCAAAGGUCUCUUCCAAAGACGGGAAUGUCCACCGGGGAAACGUUCUUGGCAUUGACCACCAAGGAAAACCGAUGCGCGAUUCCAGAGAAAACCACCCCCCUGUGGGGGGGACGGGGACUCCCCCGCUUGGCCCCCCGGGCUCUUCCAAAUGGCCCAAGGACUUUCUUUUGGAACACUUGAGUGCAAGUGAAUAUAUAUAUAUUAUAUAUAUACUGGACCUGGAGCUGUCUGAAUGCAUGCGUGGUUUUCCCUCCGGCCUUCGUUGGGCUCUCUGUGCGAGUUAAGAAGUGUCUACGUAGAGCCACCUUGGUGUAAACUUCGUCCCUUGUGACCCCUUGGUGAUUAAAAAAA